GCUAAUUUUUAUAUUUUUAAUAGAGACGGGGUUUCACCGUGUUGACCAGGCUGGUCUCAAACUCCUGACUUCAGGUGAUCCGCCCACCUUGGCCUCCCAAAGUGCUGGGAUUACAGGCAUGAGCCACUGUGCCUGGCCUAGAAUCUUUGUUUCUGUUUAUUAAUUGAGAAAAGGAAGUAACCAUUUUAGUUAAACAUGAACUUCAGAGUCAGAAAGAUCUUGGUUCAACUUCUUCCCUGAGAAAACACCAAAGUGCAGAUGACUGGUGCAGAGAGAGGACUCAGAGGCCCUUGGGGCCCUGGAAUGGGAGGUCAUAGUGGUUUCCACGGAGGCUUUGGCAGUGGCAUUGGGGCCUGGAUAGUGGUUGGGGUCAGGGCCUGGGCCAUGGAGCUUGCAGAGGCAAGGAUGAAGAUGAGGAAUGGAUGCCUGUCACCAAGUUGGGCUACCUGGUCAAGGACAUGAAGAUCAAGUCCCUGGAGGAAAUCUAGCCCUUCUCCUUGACCAUCGAGGAGUCUGAGAUCAUUGACUUUUUCCUGGGGGCAUCUCUCAAGGAUGAGGUUUUGAAGACCACGCCCGUGCAAAAGCAGACCUGCGCUGACCAGCAUACCAGGUUCAAGGUUAUCCUGGAGCCCAGAGAUGUGUGUUCUCAUCCUAGUUCUGACCUUGUUGUGAUCACGGAUGAAUCACUUAGACUUCCCAGGUCUGUAUGCCUCUGAAUAGGGAGAGUGGGCCCUAUCUCACAGAGGAUCCAGCAAUAUUAAAGAUAUGAAAAUUCUUUGCUGUUGACAUUUGAAUAAUGGGAGAAAAAUACCAGUGGGAGGGAACUGCAAAUUAGUGGGCCUUGAGUCAGACAGAUCAGAGUUUUGGCUCCAGACCUCCCUUACUGGCCAGAUGACCUGAAACAAGUCAUCUCGUACUUGGUAACACUCUUCCUGUGCUGCUUCAGGAAGCUGGUUCUCUAGAACCUCAUGUUCAAACUGCAACUCAGGGAUGCCUUCCCUGUCUGUGCAGGGAGGUCAGCUGAUUGGUAUGAUCACAUCUUUAGCAUCUGUCUUCCCAGCCAGACUGAGGGCUCCCAGCAAGAAUUUUGUCUGGCCUGUUCUCCAGAGGCCAACAUGGGGCCUGGCCCAUAGGUGCUCCCUGUUUCUGUAUCACCUACAAGUUCUUUCAGUCUUGGCUGCCUCACUAGGCUGCUGGAGAAACCCAGAAGGUAGACGAUGAGACCCACAAGUAUGAGGCAUUUGGAAUGCAUGGGCUACCCUGUGAAGAACUUUACCGGAG
rnacentral:lncRNA from 1 species